CAUCCAUCCAGAGCGGCUGAGAGACCUGGCUCUAUGACGCCGCAGCAACCCUCACGCGGGGUGCUUCCGCCAGGAUCGAUGGAGA
rnacentral:ncRNA from 2 species